CAAAACUGUUGUCGCUGAGCAGGUAAACCAGGAUGCCUGGUGCCGGCAGCAAGCCCCAGGCCAGAUGGACCCUGUGGCGGUCCAAGGGGAGGAGGUAGGGGUUCAGGUCUGCAACUCACAUCACUGAUGCUCUGCUCCCUACCCUGCCAUGGCCUCAUGGAGGGAGGACGGGUGCUAACUGCUCUGAUCUCCUCUGGAGAAUAAAACAGGGAUAGUGCAUCUUCCAGUACAGUGAGGUUGAAGCCUAAGCACUUGGAGCAGCCCAAAUGCACCCUCUGCCCAGAGGCUUCUUCUCUAGGAAAAGGAGGCUGGUGUUCCUGAUGGUCAUGCCAGAACUAAAGGGGAAGGGCCAGUGUGGGUUAGCAGUGGUUAGAAGAUCCACAUCUCCAUCUAGAUUAAUUCCCAAGGGUACCAGAUCUUAAUCAACCUUUGCCGCUCUGGGGCUUCUUUAAAGCACAAGUGUAUUAAAGGUAUUUGCAGGUAGUCCUCAUCCCCUUUUGCUAAAGGACCCCGCAACCACAGUGAGGGAGAGGAAGACUCCAUACCUGAAAAGCAGACAUGUUUGCAGAUCAGACCUGAGGUGCACAGACACAGCCCCAUGUGUACACACCUGUGCCCUGGAAAAGAUGAAAUCAGGCAUCAAUGAACUCAUCUGGGCAGAACAGUGCUGUCAGGACCAAACUUUGGUUUUGGAGUCACCUACAAGAGAUCAGCCCAGCACCUGCCUGGGGCCUGCGAUGGAUGGUAGGGUCGGUCCGGAGACCCCAGCUUCUGGACAUACAGGUUUCUGCUUCUGAAGCCUCCCCAGAAGCUGCUGGGAAUCCAUCCUGCAGAUCCUGUGAUGCUAUCAGCUGCAUUUACGAGAAGUAAGGUACCUGAAGAUUUCAGUAGUCAGAGUGACAGGGCUUCAGAAGCUGUUCUCUGGAUCGUGCAUUCUCCUGCAUCUUGAACUAUCUGGAUUUGAUCAUCUGCAAGGAUAUUUGCAAUGGAAAUCUUGCAUACCUGUGACCUGAAUGGGUAU